CACAAUGCUCCAUUGAUCUUAUCAGGAUGGAGGUGUGGCUGAUUAAUUCGGGUUGGAGCACGUAGCAGCGCCUCUUCUGUUCUCGUCGCAUAGGUUGGAGGAGGAGGAGGAGGAGGAGCCGCAGAUGAAGUUGAAGAGCCGACCACUCCAGGAGGUCUUGUUGGUUGAGAAGAAGCAGGAGUCCUACCAGGAGGCAUUGAAGCGGCUCUCAUUUGCGGUCUCACGUUUCUUACAUCUGCAGAAAGAGAAACAGAAGAAGCGUUAAGAUUGAAAAACUGAAAAGCCUAACUUGUAACCGAAAAGAAAACACUAAAUCAAAACCCUACUCAAAAUCAACAGCAACACCAAACCCCUAAACGAAACCCAAUUCAAAACCCAAAUAGAAACCCAAAUUUAAACCGCAGAACAAAUUGAAAGCGAAUCCCAAAUCGAAACCCUUAUUUGAAACCCAACCUAAACCCAAAUCGAAACCCUUAUUUGAAACCUAAAUCGUAACCCUAAUUUGAAAC
rnacentral:lncRNA from 1 species